UAAAUUACAUUGCACAUAAAUACAGUUUCUAAUAAAGCGUUUACUUGCCCCCCCACCUGUCCCUCUAUAGGACAGCACGUCACCGAGUGUUUGGGCACUUGCCCGUUUAGCGCCGUUGCUUGCUUCGCUUAACUAAAGAUAUCCAACCUUGCAGACUUUUGACAUCAGAGACAUCACAAAAUUUGGGCAUUUGUAUACAUUUGUGUAAUGUAAGUAGAGUAUAUUUUAUCGCAGGUCAACGAAGUAUCCUUAACUUGCAAACUUUACUCAACUAAUAUUUAAACGAAAAAUAUUCGGUCAGAUGAUAAGUACCUAUGGCAUGUUUAUCAAAUUUCGUAUAGUAUGAAAAAUUAUGAAUUGCUUACCUUCUUCCUUGCUAAACCUCGCUACCGAAGUCGAGAACAUCCUAAGAGGACGUCUGAAUACGAACUUUGAGCCCAAAACCAUUAGUCUGGAAUUCAUUUCUAUUUAUGUUAAUGGUAAAUUUACAAUGAAUUAACUUAAAGCUACGUCCAAA